GUCCAGAAUGCGGCGGACCAGAGCCAGAAGCCUACGAGGGUUACGGCUGCAGCCGGUCGAUAGCGCGUCGUCAUGAUCGCAAGGCCGGCUGC
rfam:Rhizobium tibeticum isolate CCBAT85039 genome assembly, contig: CCBAT85039_contig56